rnacentral:rRNA from 1 species
GAGCGAACAGAUGAGGAGCUUGCUCCUCUGACGUUAGCGGCGGACGGGUGAGUAACACGUGGAUAACCUACCUAUAAGACUGGGAUAACUUCGGGAAACCGGAGCUAAUACCGGAUAAUAUAUUGAACCGCAUGGUUCAAUAGUGAAAGACGGUUUUGCUGUCACUUAUAGAUGGAUCCGCGCCGCAUUAGCUAGUUGGUAAGGUAACGGCUUACCAAGGCAACGAUGCGUAGCCGACCUGAGAGGGUGAUCGGCCACACUGGAACUGAGACACGGUCCAGACUCCUACGGGAGGCAGCAGUAGGGAAUCUUCCGCAAUGGGCGAAAGCCUGACGGAGCAACGCCGCGUGAGUGAUGAAGGUCUUCGGAUCGUAAAACUCUGUUAUUAGGGAAGAACAAAUGUGUAAGUAACUAUGCACGUCUUGACGGUACCUAAUCAGAAAGCCACGGCUAACUACGUGCCAGCAGCCGCGGUAAUACGUAGGUGGCAAGCGUUAUCCGGAAUUAUUGGGCGUAAAGCGCGCGUAGGCGGUUUUUUAAGUCUGAUGUGAAAGCCCACGGCUCAACCGUGGAGGGUCAUUGGAAACUGGAAAACUUGAGUGCAGAAGAGGAAAGUGGAAUUCCAUGUGUAGCGGUGAAAUGCGCAGAGAUAUGGAGGAACACCAGUGGCGAAGGCGACUUUCUGGUCUGUAACUGACGCUGAUGUGCGAAAGCGUGGGGAUCAAACAGGAUUAGAUACCCUGGUAGUCCACGCCGUAAACGAUGAGUGCUAAGUGUUAGGGGGUUUCCGCCCCUUAGUGCUGCAGCUAACGCAUUAAGCACUCCGCCUGGGGAGUACGACCGCAAGGUUGAAACUCAAAGGAAUUGACGGGGACCCGCACAAGCGGUGGAGCAUGUGGUUUAAUUCGAAGCAACGCGAAGAACCUUACCAAAUCUUGACAUCCUCUGACCCCUCUAGAGAUAGAGUUUUCCCCUUCGGGGGACAGAGUGACAGGUGGUGCAUGGUUGUCGUCAGCUCGUGUCGUGAGAUGUUGGGUUAAGUCCCGCAACGAGCGCAACCCUUAAGCUUAGUUGCCAUCAUUAAGUUGGGCACUCUAAGUUGACUGCCGGUGACAAACCGGAGGAAGGUGGGGAUGACGUCAAAUCAUCAUGCCCCUUAUGAUUUGGGCUACACACGUGCUACAAUGGACAAUACAAAGGGUAGCGAAACCGCGAGGUCAAGCAAAUCCCAUAAAGUUGUUCUCAGUUCGGAUUGUAGUCUGCAACUCGACUAUAUGAAGCUGGAAUCGCUAGUAAUCGUAGAUCAGCAUGCUACGGUGAAUACGUUCCCGGGUCU